UGGUGCGAUCCUACCAUCACUAUUGCACCGGAUCCCAUCAGAACUUCGCAAUUAUGCGUGCUUGGGUGAGAGUAGUACUAGGAUGGAUGACCUCGUGGGAAGUCCUCGUGUUGCACCUU
rfam:Lupinus angustifolius cultivar Tanjil contig_1837, whole genome shotgun sequence.